UACGUAGGGGGCAAGCGUUGUCCGGAAUCAUUGGGCGUAAAGAGCGUGUAGGCGGUCCGGUAAGUCGGCUGUGAAAGUCCAGGGCUCAACCCUGGGAUGCCGGUCGAUACUGCCGGACUAGAGUUCGGAAGAGGCGAGUGGAAUUCCCGGUGUAGCGGUGAAAUGCGCAGAUAUCGUAAGGAAGACCAGUGGCGAAGGCGAAUCUCUGGACAGUUACUGACGCUGAGGCACGAAGGCCAGGGGAGCAAACGGG
rnacentral:rRNA from 1 species